rnacentral:lncRNA from 1 species
AUUUGAAUGGGUAGACUGAGUAGAGAAGAUCAUACAGUCCAUUGAGGUCAGGCAUCAUCCCAGUGUGGGCAGGACCUUACCAAUGUGUGCAGGUAUCAUUCAACCCAGGGAGGGCCUGGAUAGAACAGAAAGGAAGAGGAAGGGCACAUUCUCUCUCUCUUCCUGAGCUGGGACAUCCAUCUUCUCCUGCUGUCAGAUAUCAGCAGCACUCUUGGUUCUCAGGCCUUUGGACUCAGAUUGAAUUUCACGACUGACUUUUCUGGUUCUCCAGCUUUCAGAUGGCAGACGGUGGAACUUCCUGGCCUCCACAACCAUGCACAUUUUUAUAGGAAAAAAAUGAUCAAGCAUGAGACAGGACCCCUGGACUCUGGAGAGGCACUUUGGUUUCAGGAUAAUCCUUAAAGAUAGAACCUCGCCAUCUUGGACAUCUGACCUCCAGAUAAAUCCUCCAAAAAGAAAAAAAAGAAAAGCCCUAAGGACCAGAGAAGUCAUCUUUAACAUGCAUUCUUCAUACUCUCUCAGAGAAAAUAUGCCCAUGGCUAAUGUGAGAGGCAGAGCAGAACUGAACAGAGGCUUAAAUUUUUCUACCUGAGAGUCAGAAUUUGCGUGUGGAGAUGAAUUUUGAUAGGUGUCAAAAAGCAACUGUUGGCCUUUAUGCUCUUACGGUUACCCACACUUCUAGUGAGCAACUCAUGGGUGCUAAUAUUGGGAAGCAGAGCCACCCAAGCCAACUGUAUUCAAAUUAAGGUAGAGAGAAAACCCAGAUUUGGCUACUUGCCAGACUGCUAUGCUACCUCUUUCUCAACUUACAUUAACUCAGGAGUAGGAAGCUGGGGCAAGUGGUGAAUUCUUCUAUUUCUUCUGCUACUGACCUUCCUUUGAGGCCCAAUUUAGCCCAAGAUGGGUAAGAAAAGUGAGACUGCUGAUAUUAUUUAUUUUGACCUCCACCCAGAAACAUACUGCUUCAGCCUUUCAUCCUUUUUGGAUCAAUUGACACAAGUGUUUUUUUUGUUUUGUUUUAUUUGGCUUAAAACAGUGGUUAUCAAUUUUUUUUCUGCCUUUGGUUUGUUGAAGCAAAAGUUGCUAUGAGUCACAAGCUUUGCCUGCUUUACAUAGCCAUUUAGCUAUAUUACAAAAUUAAAUUAAAUAUAUUAAAAAUAAUAUUUUAUAAUAAUAAAUAUAUUAAAAAUUAUAUUAAAAAUUAUACUGCAGGAACAAAUGGGAAGACAUGGCACCAUUUUUAAGUAAAGUAUAACAUAACAUACAUUAAAAAAUGUGCCCUGAUGAAAUUUCACAAACAACAAACUGAAUAUUCCCAUGUAAGCCCCACCCAGGUAAAGAAAUAGAAAAUUACCAGAACCCCCAAAUCCACCUCUUGUGCCUCCUUCUAAUUUCUUUCUGAGAAAGAUAACCACUGUUUUGACUUCUAUUACAUAUCACUUUUUAAAAAUCUACUUUAGGCUGGGAGAGGUGGCUCAUGCCUGUAAUCCUAGCACUUUGGGAAGCCAAGGAAGGAGGAUCACUUGAACCCAGAAGUUCACGACCAGCCUGGGCAACACCGUGAAAUCCGGUCUCUACAAAAAUAAACAAAAUUAGCCAGGUACGGUGGCACAUACCUGUAGUUCCAGCUUCUAUAUUCUGGAAGUUGAGGUGGGAGGAUCACUUGUGCCUGGGAGGUUGAGGCUGCAGUGAGCCAUGAUCAUGCCACUGCACUUCAGGCCAGGCAACAGAGCAAGACCUUGUCUCAGAA